CAGAGCUGCCCAAGUCCUACCCCACAAACACUUAUACACCAUGUGCUCCUCCAACAAGAGGAGGACUCCAUCCCCCUCAGCAUCCUCCAAGCCCAGCUCCUUGGCCAACCCAACCAGGCCUGUGUUCCCUGAGGCUUCGGAAGGCCAGAGUCAUGCCUAUGGGCUUCCCAGGGGCUCUGGUUCCUCAGGCUUCCUCCUGCCAAGAGCCAGAUUCCGGCUCCUCAGGAUCCUGGCACCCUAGCCAUGCCCCAACCACAGGACAGGUGUCUGACCUGGAUCUACAGCCCCAAAGCAGGCAGUCCCCAGGGUCUUGGGUACUCCUCAGACAAGAAGGAAAGGUACCAACCUGAACAGUCUAAAAUCCAUGCAUCUCUGAGCAUCCUGGUACUGGGACUGUCAGGCCCAGGCAGUCCUUUGAGUGCCAGUGAUUCGCUUUAAUAAAGGGCCACAUGAAC